CCGCUGCCUCCGGAGAGCCCGCGGUUGUGAGCGAACGCCGUCAUCCCCGCUGUACGGGAAGGGCACUGAGGCGAUGUGACACAUCUGUCCGCUGCUCUGGCAGCGCCUGGGCGGCCCUGAAAGCAGAUCGGCCGCUCAGGACCUCUCCUGGGUGUACUGACAGCGGCAUUCACAGCGCUGCCCGGUCCCUGGAGGCAUCCAAGCCAAAGCAUUUGCUCUCAAAGUGACGAUCCAGUUUACAGCCGAAGCGGUUCUGCAUCCCCUUGCCGGACUUCCUCUCGUGAUCUGCUUCACUUCCGCACGCACGCACAGCCACAGCAAUGGCUGGUGGGGUGCCUGCCUGCAUCGUGCCUUGAUGAAAGGCCUGGGGACGGCAGGUGGUCUAUAGAAAAGCAUAGCGAGAGCUGCUAUUCUGCUGGCCUGACGGCAGUAGGAAGCAGCAACAUUUAGUGGAAUUAAAGGGCGGAAAAUUCAAAGCCAAAUGCAAAUGCACACCUAUUACGCCCAGUGAAAUCAGCCCAGAGGACUCGUUGCCACAGGAAGUUGUUUCUGGGACCAAAAGUUCUCUGAGAUGCAAAGGAAGGCUGAGUAAACCUAGAAAACAGCUACUGCUUCCAGCAGAG
rnacentral:lncRNA from 1 species